AUACGUAGGGGGCGAGCGUUGUCCGGAAUGAUUGGGCGUAAAGGGCGCGUGGGCGGCCCGGUAAGUCUGGAGUGAAAGUCCUGUUUUUAAGAUGGGAAUUGCUUUGGAUACUGUCGGGCUUGAGUGCAGGAGAGGUAAGUGGAAUUCCCAGUGUAGCGGUGAAAUGCGUAGAGAUUGGGAGGAACACCAGUGGCGAAGGCGACUUACUGGACUGUAACUGACGCUGAGGCGCGAAAGUGUGGGGAGCAAACAGGAUUAGAUACCCUGGUAGUCCACACUGUAAACGAUGAAUGCUAGGUGUAGGGGGUAUCGACCCCUUCUGUGCCGCAGUCAACACAAUAAGCAUUCCGCCUGGGGAGUACGGCCGCAAGGUUGAAACUCAAAGGAAUUGACGGGG
rnacentral:rRNA from 1 species